GUGAAUCAUCGAAUCUUUGAACGCACCUUGCGCUCUAUGGCAAUCCGUAGAGCAUGCCUGUUUGAGUGCCAUGAAAUCUCCCACCCCAAGCGGUUUUUACAUGAAACGGCUUGGCGGAUGGGGUCUGGAUGGGUGCCUCUGCCUGCGCUACCUAGCACAGGCUCGCCCGAAAUGCAUGAGCGCCUUGAGACACUUUGCAUCCGCCUCUCUGUUUGGGAGGAGGCGGCCAAGCAGUGUUUUUCUCCUGGCAUGGCAUGAUACGUCAUUUGCUAUGUCGCCUAAAGGAGGAAUGUUUGGUUG
rnacentral:misc_RNA from 1 species